GGAAGAGGAUCGCGUCCCGGUGGUGCGCACGGACUUCAAAUCCGAUGAGGCGUGUUCGACACGUCUGGUGGGUUCGACUCCCGCCCUCUUUCGCCA
rnacentral:tRNA from 1 species